rnacentral:rRNA from 1 species
AUUUAUUUGAAAGUAACAGAACGACUAUACAUAAAGAGUUUUAGCGUAAGCAUUCUAUAGUUUGAGUAUGCACAUAUGAGUAGCACACAUUAAAUAUGGACCGUAUAUUCAAGGGUUAAUAAUGUGAAACGAUUUU